rnacentral:rRNA from 1 species
AACGCGUAUGGAACCUGCCCCUGUCAGGGGAAUAGCCCAGGGAAACUUGGAUUAAUGCCCCAUGGUACCGUUAUAUCGCAUGAUAUUUCGGUUAAAGAUUUAUCGGACAGGGAUGGCCAUGCGUACCAUUAGUUAGUUGGUGGGGUAACGGCCCACCAAGGCAGCGAUGGUUAGGGGCCCUGAGAGGGGGAUCCCCCUCACUGGUACUGAGACACGGACCAGACUCCUACGGGAGGCAGCAGUGAGGAAUAUUGGACAAUGGGCGGGAGCCUGAUCCAGCCAUGCCGCGUGCAGGAUGACGGCCCUAUGGGUUGUAAACUGCUUUUAUACGGGAAGAAACGCACCUACGUGUAGGUGUCUGACGGUACCGUAAGAAUAAGGACCGGCUAACUCCGUGCCAGCAGCCGCGGUAAUACGGAGGGUCCGAGCGUUAUCCGGAAUCAUUGGGUUUAAAGGGUCCGUAGGCGGGCCUGUAAGUCAGGGGUGAAAGUUUGUGGCUCAACCAUAAAAUUGCCUUUGAUACUGCAGGUCUUGAGUCAUGGUGGGGUCGCCGGAACAUGUGGUGUAGCGGUGAAAUGCAUAGAUAUCACAUAGAACACCGAUC